rnacentral:rRNA from 1 species
UACGGUAGGGGGCAAGCGUUGUCCGGAAUCAUUGGGCGUAAAGAGCGUGUAGGCGGCCUGGUAAGUCCGCUGUGAAAGUCCAGGGCUCAACCCUGGAAUGCCGGUGGAAACUGUCAGGCUCGAGUCCGGAAGAGGCGAGUGGAAUUCCUGGUGUAGCGGUGAAAUGCGCAGAUAUCAGGAGGAACACCGGUGGCGAAGGCGGGUCUCUGGGCAGUAACUGACGCUGAGGAGCGAAAGCGUGGGGAGCGAACGGG